rnacentral:rRNA from 1 species
CUAUGCGCCUUGCCAGCCCGCUCAGGUGUGCCAGCAGCCGCGGUAAUACGGAGGAUGCGAGCGUUAUCCGGAUUUAUGGGUUAAAGGGUGCGUAGGCGGUCCGUUAAGUCAGCGGUAAAAUUGCGGGGCUCAACCCCGUCGAGCCGUUGAAACUGGGGAUCUUGAGUGGGCGAGAAGUAUGCGGAAUGCGUGGUGUAGCGGUGAAAUGCAUAGAUAUCACGCAGAACUCCGAUUGCGAAGGCAGCAUACCGGCGCCCGACUGACGCUGAGGCACGAAAGCGUGGGGAUCGAACAGG